AACGCACAUUGCGCCCUCUGGUAUUCCGGGGGGCAUGCCUGUUCGAGCGUCAUUGCAACCCCUCAAGCACGGCUUGUGUGUUGGGCCAUCGUCCCUUUUUGUGGACGGGCCUGAAAUGCAGUGGCAGCACCGAGUUCUGGUGUCUGAGUGUAUGGGAAUCUCUUAUCGCUCAAAGACCCAAUCGGCGCUGAUGUCAGAUUUUUAUCCAGUUUGACCUCGGAUCAGGUAGGAGUACCCGCUGAACUUAA
rnacentral:misc_RNA from 2 species